UAUAAAUUAGUGUUUAUAUAUGCACUUUAAUUUUUGAAAUUUUAAGAAUAAUAAUUAUUAUAUUUAUAA
rnacentral:tRNA from 1 species